rnacentral:lncRNA from 1 species
AGAGGUGAGUUGGUAUAGUAAUUUUUUUUCGACGCAUUUCUUCCCGUGUGCGGGUUAUUAUGCAAAUAAAAAAGGUAGGAAUGAAAUCUUGAUAGAAUCCGUGAAAAAGAAAGUCAAUAAAAUAACCUUUUUAAUUGUUCUACACUUUUUACUUGGUGUAGCUUGUUACAUGAGUUUUUUUUCUUUUCUUUUGUAAUUUUCUUUAUUUGAUUAAUUUUAU